rnacentral:rRNA from 1 species
AAUGAACGCUGGCGGCGUGCCUAACACAUGCAAGUCGAGCGAGAAAGCUCCUUCGGGAGCAAGUACAGCGGCGGACGGGUGAGUAACACGUGAGAAUUUUCCCUUCAGUGAAGAAUACCCCCGAGAAAUCGGGGUUAAUACAGCAUACGUCCCUUCGGGGAGAAAGGUGGCCUCUUGCUACCGCUGAAGGAUAAGCUUGCGGACUAUCAGCUAGUUGGUGAGGUAAUAGCUCACCAAGGCUAUGACGGUUAACCGGCCUGAGAGGGUGUUCGGUCACAUUGGAACUUAGACACGGUCCAGACUCCUACGGGAGGCAG